GAUCACGGUGGCAGAUGAACACGCCUCUUUUCGACUACCACCGGCUGGAUACUCGGCACCAGCUCCACAGGGCCACGGGAGGAAAGUCCUCCACUCUUUUGCCAAGUCCUAAAAGAACCAAGGUUGAGACUAUGUACGCACGACUACCAAAACACAUCAUGUACUCACCACCGGUAAUAUCCUUAGGCAACGAGGCGUCAGCAGCCACUUCCAGUGUCUUCACAACAUCCGCCACCUCAUAAACCAUGGUCUCAUCACCUGAUGGGUUAGUAGCCUGCCCGGGGGCUCCCAGCUCGGGGGCUACCUGCUCGGGGGCUGCUGACCCUAAGUUUAACGGUGCCUCCACCACGGGCGGCUCUUCAACGGCCGCGACACUUGCAGCUGCAUCUUUGGCAAUCGUGACUACUUCAGCAGAAGUAGCCUCAUCAUCGCCAAAAG
rnacentral:lncRNA from 1 species